rnacentral:tRNA from 1 species
GCCGGGUUGGCGGAAUGGUAGACGCGACGGUCUCAAAAACCGUUGUCCGCAAGGGCGUGCGGGUUCGACUCCCGCACCCGGCA